rnacentral:rRNA from 1 species
UAGCUAGUUGGUAGGGUAAAGGCCUACCAAGGCGACGAUCGGUAGCUGGUCUGAGAGGAUGACCAGCCACACUGGAACUGAGACACGGUCCAGACUCCUACGGGAGGCAGCAGUGGGGAAUAUUGGACAAUGGGGGCAACCCUGAUCCAGCAAUGCCGCGUGUGUGAAGAAGGCCUGAGGGUUGUAAAGCACUUUCAGUGGGGAGGAGGGUUGAUAGGUUAAGAGCUGAUUAACUGGACGUUACCCACAGAAGAAGCACCGGCUAACUCCGUGCCAGCAGCCGCGGUAAUACGGAGGGUGCGAGCGUUAAUCGGAAUUACUGGGCGUAAAGGGUGCGUAGGUGGUUGAUUAAGUUAUCUGUGAAAUCCCUGGGCUCAACCUGGGCAGGUCAGAUAAGACUGGUUAACUCGAGUAUGGGAGAGGGUAGUGGAAUUUCCGGUGUAGCGGUGAGAUGCGUAGAGAUCGGAAGGAACACCAGUGGCGAAGGCGGCUACCUGGCCUAAUACUGACACUGAGGCACGAAAGCGUGGGGAGCAAACAGGAUUAGAUACCCUGGUAGUCCACGCUGUAAACGAUGUCAACUAGCUGUUGGUUAUAUGAAUAUAAUUAGUGGCGC